rnacentral:tRNA from 1 species
GAGGGGAUAGCUCAGUGGUAGAGUGCGUGCUUAGCAUGAGCAAGGUCCUGGGUUCAGUCCCCAGUACUUUCA